CGAUGCCAUGUAUUCCAAGGAAGCAUCUUUGGCUUUCUUCCCAUUGAUGAUUUCAUCUCCUGACAAGGCUUAAUCAUUCAACAACUUGCCUACGCCACCUAAAAUAGAGUUCUCUCCACUUCAAGCUUGGAACUCAGGAGUACAGAAGUCUAUCCAUGCACUCUCCG